GUCGAGCGGAAACGAUGGUAGCUUGCUACCAGGCGUCGAGCGGCGGACGGGUGAGUAACGCGUGAGAAUCUGCCCAUUUGUGGGGGAUAACUCGGGGAAACUCGAGCUAAUACCGCAUAAUCCCUACGGGGGAAAGCAGGGGACCUUCGGGCCUUGUGCAGAUGGAUGAGCUCGCGUCGGAUUAGCUUGUUGGUGAGGUAAAGGCUCACCAAGGCGACGAUCCGUAGCUGGUCUGAGAGGAUGAUCAGCCACACCGGGACUGAGACACGGCCCGGACUCCUACGGGAGGCAGCAGUGGGGAAUCUUGGACAAUGGGGGCAACCCUGAUCCAGCCAUGCCGCGUGUGUGAAGAAGGCCUUCGGGUUGUAAAGCACUUUCAGUAGGGAGGAAGGCUUACCGCUAAUAACGGUGAGUACUUGACGUUACCUACAGAAGAAGCACCGGCUAAUUUCGUGCCAGCAGCCGCGGUAAUACGAAAGGUGCGAGCGUUAAUCGGAAUUACUGGGCGUAAAGCGCGCGUAGGCGGUUUGUUAAGUCAGAUGUGAAAGCCCCGGGCUCAACCUGGGAAUUGCAUUUGAAACUGGCAGGCUAGAGUGCAGUAGAGGGAGGUGGAAUUUCCGGUGUACCGGUGACAUGCAUACAUAUCUUAAGGAGCAGCAGUGGCGGGGGUGGCCUCCUGGAUGGACACUGACCCUUAGGUGCUCAAGCGUGGUGUGAGUCCAGGA
rnacentral:rRNA from 1 species